UUAGCUUAGUUGGUAGAGCACCCGCUUAGUAAGCGGGAGGUCGUCGGUUCGACUCCGGCA
rnacentral:tRNA from 1 species